AGUGACGGCAGGCUGACUGAGUCAUGAGCCAUUCCUUUUCAGAUGGUUGGCAUCAGGCUGGAGUUACUUUGAGCACACUGCAGGACCAAUGCAACCUAAAUGAUAGCUGUAUGUAUGCUGUGGAGAGCAUGAGUAUUCUUUAUGAAUACUUGUUCCUAAACAGUCUACUUGAUGGACCCUGGGAUGAGAGUGAACUGUCUUCUGCUAGUCUGCAUCUCAAAGUUGCACUGCAAGCAGGACGAUGCCAGGAGUUCUCACAAUGCAUCUAACAGUUGGGAUUCGUUUGAGAACACUGAGAGACCAAUUGAACCUAAAUGGUCUGCUGGAGGCAACCCUUAAUGAUCUGGA